rnacentral:rRNA from 1 species
AGAUACCCUAGUAUGAAUUAGUUUAAUUUGAUUAGUAAGAUAAUGAAAUUUAAAAUUUUUGGCGGUUAAUUAGUAGUUAGGGGAGCUUGUUAGAUUAGAUAAUGUGCUUUGUAUUUUGUUGAUUUUAGUUUAUUCAUCUCCGUUAUAAGAUUAAUAUUAAUUGGAUGAAAUUGAAAUUGAUUAAUAUUUCAGGUCAAGAUGUAGCUUGAAUGAUAUAAAAUUAGCUACAUUUAUAUAAUAUUUGAAUAUAUUUUUGUAACUAGAGUAUUAAAAAUGAAUUUAAUUGUAAUGAUAAUUAGAGUGUUAGAAUGAUUAAUAUAUUAAUGUACAGAUUGCCCGUCACUUCUGUUGAAAAAUGGAAUAAGUCGUAACA